rnacentral:rRNA from 1 species
UACGGAGGGGGCGAGCGUUGUUCGGAAUUACUGGGCGUAAAGGGCGCGUAGGCGGCCGCCUAAGUCAGACGUGAAAUCCCUCGGCUCAACCGGGGAACUGCGUCUGAUACUGGGUGGCUUGAAUCCGGGAGAGGGAUGCGGAAUUCCAGGUGUAGCGGUGAAAUGCGUAGAUAUCUGGAGGAACACCGGUGGCGAAGGCGGCAUCCUGGACCGGCAUUGACGCUGAGGCGCGAAAGGCAGGGGAGCAAACGGG